rnacentral:rRNA from 1 species
AGUAACAGCCAUAUCACACUGCAGCCCAAGACUGGUUGCCCACUGAAGCUAAGCAGGGUUCAACCUGGUCAGUACCUGGAUGGGAGACCUCCUGGGAAAACUAGGUUGCUGUUGGAA